CCCUUAGAUGUUCUGGGCCGCACGCGUGCUACACUGAGUAAUUCAAUGGGUAAGGGAACGCUAGAGCAUUACCUAAUCUUGAAAUUUGCUCGUGAUGGGGAUCGACGGUUGCAAUUUUCCGUCGUGAACGAGGAAUACCUUGUAGGCGCAUGUCAUCACCAUGCGCCGAAUACGUCCCUGCCCUUUGUACACACCGCCCGUCGCUCCUACCGAUUGAGUGAUCCGGUGAGGCUCUGGGACCUGGACGGAAAGAGCGUUUCGCUUGUUCUGUUUGGGAAACUUGGUCGAACCUUAUCAUUUAGAGGAAGGAGAAGUCGUAACA
rnacentral:rRNA from 1 species